rnacentral:rRNA from 1 species
UACGAAGGGGGCUAGCGUUGCUCGGAAUCACUGGGCGUAAAGGGUGCGUAGGCGGGUCUUUAAGUCAGGGGUGAAAUCCUGGAGCUCAACUCCAGAACUGCCUUUGAUACUGAGGAUCUUGAGUUCGGGAGAGGUGAGUGGAACUGCGAGUGUAGAGGUGAAAUUCGUAGAUAUCUGGAGGAACACCAGUGGCGAAGGCGGCAUCCUGGACCGGCAUUGACGCUGAGGCGCGAAAGCUAGGGUAGCAAACGGG